AAAGAAAGAAAGAAAGAAAGAAAGAAAAGAAAGAAGGAAAGACAAGAAGUGUAAAAGGGAAACUCAUUAAGAUUGAGACAGUCAAACAAAAACAAAGAGUUCACAGAUUGAAAAUGGUCUUUGGAGUACACUCAAAUGGGAAUGUCCCUGAUGGUAGCGACCUUGCCUGCUGUAAUGUUUACCGUAGUAUUUCCAGAAGUUAAAAAAGUGCCCGGGACAUAUUGGAGCGACCAAAUAUAUUCACUGUGGAAGAUAGAGGUUUGCACAUGGGAUCAACCUGUCAUCUAGAACCAGAGUAUAAAGAACAUUUAUUUCUGUGAAUUUAUGUUAUUUGUCAUUUAACAGAUCAUGUUUAUUGAGAAUAACAAAAUCCUAUGCAAAGAAAUACAAACCUCAGCAAAAAAUC